AACAUCUAAGUACCCGGAGGAAGAGAAAGCAAAUGCGAUUCCCUGAGUAGCGGCGAGCGAAACGGGAACAGCCCAAACCAAGAGGCUUGCCUCUUGGGGUUGUAGGACACUCUGUACGGAGUUACAAAGGAACGAGGUAGAUGAAGAGGCCUGGAAAGGCCCGCCAUAGGAGGUAACAGCCCUGUAGUCAAAACUUCGUUCUCUCCUGAGUGGAUCCUGAGUACGGCGGAACACGUGAAAUUCCGUCGGAAUCCGGGAGGACCAUCUCCCAAGGCUAAAUACUCCCUAGUGACCGAUAG
rnacentral:rRNA from 1 species